rnacentral:lncRNA from 1 species
UAGAAAGUUCAUUAAAGAUCCAGGGGAAAUGAAGGCAGGCAGAAGAAGGCAGAAGAUGAGUCUGGAGGCCCAGGAAGAGGUCUAGAGAGUCACCGGUAUCUGGAAUGUAGAUCAAGCUCUGGGGAACAGGUAAGCGAGCCCGGCAUUUGGAAUAGCUAAAGACUCUUGUCUUCACUCUGUUGCCCAGACUGGCCUGGAACUCAGGGCAGUGCCUCAGCCUCUGAAUGCUGGGAUUACAGACACAAACCACCACCCUCUGCUUCUGUGUGUGCAGAUCUAGUGCCUCUCUGUAUCUGAGCUCAAGGUUCCAAAACUCCGGAACUUGCCCUUCACCCUGAUGCCACACCCACCACCUCUCCUGGUUUCCCCCUCUUCCCUCUGUCCUUCCCGUUACCUUAAAGGAUUCUUUUUCUUUGGUCCCCAUUUAAAUUGCUAUUAGUCACACCGCUGAUGACACAGGAUUAAGCAACAGUCUCCGCAUCCUACUGGCUUAUCAUAAAAGCCAUACUUCUCACUCAGCGGCCUGCCAACCAGCUCUACAGCUCGCAAUCGAGGUCCAACUUCUGUGUACCCCACACGUAUCCCCACUCAAGGGCUUCCUGACAUGUUCCUUUUGUAAUAACAGCACUAGAGGCUGAGCUCCUCCACUCUGCUCCCACAUCACAUGCCAGGCCUAAGCUGAGGGGUUCAGCAGGAGGAAGAUUUAUAGAAUAAGAAACUGUGGUGUCACAUGGUGGUGACCCCAGCACCCAGGAGGCUGAAGCAUGAGGAUCCUAAAUCCAAGGCCACCAAGAUGGCAGAGAAGCCAGGCCAGGCUGAGUUAUGUAUUAAGACCACGUAUACUUGUGUAUGUGUAUGUCUGUGUGUGUGUGUUUAUGUGUGUGUGUACAUAUAUACUCCAUACAUAUUCAUAUAUAUUCACAUAUACUAUAUGUGAAUAUAUAUCACAUCAUAUAUACACAUAUAUAAUAUAUGUAUUACAUAUGAUUAUACACACACAGACUGGUUAACACAGUCUAUUAAAACCGGCUCCUCCCUGUUCUUGCUCCGUCUCUUUGGACAAGUUCACACGUGGGUGUGGCCCCUGACUAGCUCCCUCUCAGCAGUGCUGCUUGUGCCUUUCUUUUUGUUGUUGUUUUUUUUUUCCAGACAGGGUUUCUCUGUGUAGCCCUGGCUGUCCUGGAACUCACUUUAUAGCUCAGGCUGGCCUCAAACUCAGAAAUCCACCUGCCUCUGCCUCCCAAGUGCUGGGGUUAAAGACAUGCGCCACCACAACCUGCUGCGUGUGCCUUUCAACACCAGCACCACAGGUUUCAAGACAAGGUAUUCCCACUGACGUCAUUCAGGAGCCCCCCCCCCCCCAGGUUCAGGUAGCCGGGGUUAGACUUUAUAUCUCUCUGGUCAUCCAAUUCCUGUAGCUCAUCUCCGUGUCUUUACAGAGCACCAACCUGCCUCCAGACCAGCAAGCUGGAGAGACAGCCUCUGUGCCUCUUCCUGACCCUAGCCAGCGCCAUGCUGAUGAGUUGGACCUAGUGAGUACUCCUCAUCCUCUCUGCCCUCUGCUGCUCACCUCUUCCUGUAACAGUCCUGCACAGCCUCCCCUGGCUAGCUUGCAUGCAGAACGCUGCCCCAUGUUUGCAGCUUCUCUCCCUCCUCCCUUGCCAGCAGUGACAUGCACUCCAAGCCCUGGCCUGAGAUCCUACCCUGCUCCUGACUUGUCAGUGGCCCCCUGUCUUACACGAUGGAUCCCACACUCCUCAAUGAAAACCUGAUCAGCC